UACGAAGGGUGCAAGCGUUACUCGGAAUUACUGGGCGUAAAGCGUGCGUAGGUGGUGAGUUAAGUCUGUCGUGAAAGCCCCGGGCUCAACCUGGGAAUGGCGAUGGAUACUGGCUCGCUAGAGUGCGGUAGAGGAGAGUGGAAUUCCUGGUGUAGCGGUGAAAUGCGCAGAUAUCAGGAGGAACACCGGUGGCGAAGGCGGGACUCUGGGCCGAUACUGACGCUGAGGAGCGAAAGCGUGGGGAGCAAACAGG
rnacentral:rRNA from 1 species